UACGUAGGGUGCGAGCGUUAAUCGGAAUUACUGGGCGUAAAGUGUGCGCAGGCGGCCGCGCAAGUCGAGUGUGAAAGCCCCGGGCUUAACUUGGGAAUUGCGCUCGAAACUACGUGGCUGGAGUGUGGCAGAGGAAGGUGGAAUUCCAGGUGUAGCGGUGAAAUGCGCAGAUAUCGGGAAGAACACCCGUGGCGAAGGCGGCUGCUCUGGGACGGUACUGGACGCGUGAGACGCGAAAGCGUGGGGAGCGAACGAGG
rnacentral:rRNA from 1 species